ACAUCUAUUGUUUAUUAGAGCUCUUGAUGAAGAUAAGUGUUAUAGUGGAAAACAAAGGCUACGAUAAAACAAAUGGUUGAGUGUUUCGUCCAAUUUAAAGCUAGAGUAUAAGAUAUUUUAGUAUGCCAGUUAUUAUUAAGAACGAAAAAACAAAACCAGCACCUGAACUAUUACUAGCUCAAUUGAUAUUAAGUGCUAUUUUAGUGCUGGUAGUUGGACACGCUACUUACGAGAAAGACUAUGAGAUACCUAGGUUUGUUCUCAGAAUUUAUAAAAACACACCCUAUCUACAUGAAGAGGGAAAAAGAAGCAUUCCGAUCAACGAAUUCCGAACCUCUUACACAGCUCUCUGUCUUCUUGUAGUUUCGGCAGCCUAUUUCUUCACAAACCUCAUUCUUUACCUCACUUGCAAGUGCACUUUAGAACUCUAUAACACUAUACUAAUUUUGGUUCAAGAUAUGGUGUUUUGUUUUCUCAUGUUUAUCUGCAGUAUAGCUGCUGCUGCACAUCCAGGAGAAAGGGCAAUUAAGUGGAGAGAAACUGAAAUAUUGAUUGCCUCAGGUAUAUCUAUGUUUUGUUGUGUUUCGUCAGGAGUUGGAGUCUAUUAUUCAUAUUGGGUUUAUAGAGGGCUUUAAACUGCUUGAAUCAUCUUUCGAUUUUUACUGUAGCUAUCGUCUUCGGACUUUCGUCUGCCACUCACGGUGGUAGUCGCGUUGUUGUAAAACCUGCAGCUUCUGUCUCAUACUCCAAUCCUGCUUAUGCGUACCCUCCACUUCCUCUACCUCCAGCUCCAACUGCAACCACUUACAGAUAUGACUUCCGAUACAAUCCAUUAAAAUACGGAUAUGCUUCACCCUCUUUCCCUGUUGCACCAUUGCCUCAAGCAGUACCAGUGCCACAGCAAUACGCUGUUUCUGCAUAUCCUGUAUCCUAUUCAUGGGCAGCAUAUGGACCUCCCUCUGUACCAGCAGUUCCUGCUAUGCCAGCCUAUGCUCCACCAGCGUACAGCCCUUCACCAGCUUACAGCUCUCCACCAGCGUACAGCCCUCCACAUGCUCAUCAUUUCAUCGAUCGUCAACUUGCUGCUGCUGCAGCAGCAGCAGCUGCACAUCGUUAUCAUCACCACCAUCACUAAUUGUUGUAUUGAAUAUUUAUUGCAGUACUGUAACAAACUAUGUAUCAUUAUUGAAGAAAGUAUGUAAAUGUAUGUAAAUGCCCUUGAAUAUGUAUUUAUUCUGUAGUUUUAGUUUGAAGAAUUUAAAUAAAAUUUAUUAAGAGUUA